UCCCUGCGAGCUCAGAUGGUAAAGAAUCUGCCUGCAAUGCAGGAUACCCGGGUUCAGCCCCUGGGUUGGGAA
rnacentral:tRNA from 1 species